rnacentral:tRNA from 1 species
GGAGUUGUGUCCGAGUGGUUUAAGGUACCGGUUUGCUAAACCGGCGAGUUUCAUCAGGGACUCCGAUGGUUCGAAUCCAUCCGGCCCCG